GCUGGAGAAGCGUUCCAGUCUGAUCUGCUCCUUCGAUGCUGAAACCAAGACAUGGGGAGAGACCUUUAAUCUGAACCUGACUUCCAGUUCUGA